CAUGUAGCCUACAAUGUGACUAAAAGACUUGAAUAAUGCCAAACAUGCAACUUCCGACAAGCUGGUGUCAGUUGGUAUAUUUGGGAAAGUCGAUAAUUUGUGAAAGACAAAUGUACAGUAUAACUUGAAAACAUUGUAUUGGAAAGCUGAAAGUAAUGUCAUCACCAACUCGAAAGACCGUGAGUCGUUCACGUGGACAAAAAUUGUACAGUGUUCUCAUUGUUGAAAACACACGCGUUUUACGAAAUGUCCUUGUAUCCCACGCUCGGAUGUACCACUUGUGAUGUG